GGAAUUUUGGACAAUGGGGGAAACCCUGAUCCAGCGACGCCGCGUGGAGGACGAAGGUCUUCGGAUUGUACACUCCUUUUGGAGGGGAAGACUGUCUGCGUGAAGAGCGCAGAGUGACUGUACUCUCUGAAUAAGCCACGGCUACCGUCGGGCCAGCAGCCGCGGUAAUACGAAGGUGGCAAGCGUUACUCGGAAUUACUAGGCGUAAAGCGCAGGUAGGCGGUUCGGUAAGUCUCUUGUGAAAGCUCCCGGCUUAACUGGGAGAGGUCAAGGGAAACUGCCGGACUCGAGUGUGGUAGAGGAAACUGGAAUUCCCGGUGUAGCGGUGAAAUGCGUAGAUAUCGGGAGGAAUACCUAUGGCGAAAGCAGGUUUCUGGGCCAUCACUGACGCUGAGCUGCGAAAGCUAGGGGAGCAAAC
rnacentral:rRNA from 1 species